rnacentral:lncRNA from 1 species
GGUUUUUCGUGGGUCUGUCCUGGUUUGCACUGAAGGUGCCCUGACCCAGGAAACUUCUCUGUCUGGAGCAAAACAGGACAGUUGGGCACCCUGUGGUGCCCAGGGAGGUGGAGACGUGAUCCCGGGCUCAGGCUUCUCUCAAGUUAGAAUCUCCUUUUGUGUCUGCUGUCUGCCUGAGAAAAUGCUCUUGCGGGAGACCAGUGAAGGGAAGGGACCCCCUCUGAGAGCUGAGAAGGCCCUGUUCAUCCCAGGGGUAAGUCAGGCUGCAGAGGGUGAGAACUGAGGCUUGAGGAGCCCCAGGGCCACCGUGGGACACACUGUUGCUGCGGCUCCCUCUGCCGUAGGUUCUGUGUUAGCUCCUUCUACCUUGCCCCCAGCCUUUUUUUUUUUUUUUUUUUUUAAUUUGUGGUUCUGGGAUCACACCAGGGCCUCCCACGUGCUCUGCAAAUGCUGUAGCCCUGAGCCACCAGCAGUAGCGCCACCAGCCCAGCUGCCAGUUAUCCGGUGCUUGCUGGGGUCAGCGCUCUGCGAACAUUGUGACAUAUUUUGCACAGCAGCUGGUGAUUCACAUUUUAAAACUGAAGCUCUGAGAGGUUAAGUGACUUGCCUGGAGCUCAUAGCUCCGAUCAGCACUGGAGCUGGGUUCGAAUCGAAGCCAGCUUCGCGUGAAGUCGAGGCCUUCAUCCACUCUCCAGUCUCUGAGUCGUCCUGGAAAACAGUCUGGGUCUCUGUCUCAGGGUGGGGGCAGCUUCCUUGCUUGCCCUAGGACAUGGCGCUUCAGUGACUGAUGCUCUUUCUCUACCCAUAGAGUCCUAUGACUCAUGAUCUGUGAGGGUGAAACCCGUGAGUCAGAUCCCGUUACCAUAACAAAACACUUGAGAUAAUCAAUUUACAAAGAGGACAGCUUUAUAUUGGCUCAUAGUUUGGGAGGUUUCAGGUACAAGUCAGUUGACCUGUUGAUUUGGAAUUGAGGUGAGAUAGUCUGUCGUGGUACCAGCUCGGGGCCAAGAAAGACCUCACUUCUGACCAGAAGUGAGAAAGAAGAGCAAGAAUGUGGGGUCCUCACAUCCCCUUCCAGGACACAUUCCCAGGACUGAAAGGUCUUCCACUAAGCCCCACCUUUUAAAGGUGCCAUCCUCAAUAGCACCGAGCUGGGGACUAAGCCUUUAACAUACAGGUCACUGGGGGACAUUGAUACAAACCAAUGUCUCAGUGACCAAACACAAUUUUGAUGUACUUGUUUAAGAAGUACAAAAAGAUGGAGAUUUGGGCCUGCUUUUUCUUCUGAUAGAUGCAGGGUCUCUGGUUUAAUUCCUAGGUCCUUGAUCCACUUUGAGUUGAGUUUUGUGCAUGGUGAGAGAGGGGUUUAGUUUCAUUUUGUUGCGUAUGGGUUUCCAGUUUUCCCAGCACCAUUUGUUGAAAAGGCUGUCUUUUCUCCAAUGUACGUUUUUGGUACCUUUGUCUAAUAUAAGAUAUCUGUAAUUAUGUGGGUUAGUCUCUGGGUCCUCUAUUCUGUACCAUUGGUCUACAGUCUAUUUUGUUGCCAAUACCAUGCUUUUGUCACUAUUGCUCUGUUGUAUAGUUUAAGGUCUGGUAUUGUGAUGCCACCUACUUCACUCUUCUUGCUAAGGAUUGCUUUUGUCAUUCGGUGUCUCUUAUUUUUCCAGAUGAAUUUCAUGAUUGCUUUGUCUAUUUCUAUGAGGAAUGUCAUUGGGAUAUGAUUGGAAUUGCGUUAAAUCUGUUUAGUGCUUUUGGAAUUAUGGUCUAUAUGUACAAUAUGAAUUGUAAUGCAUUUUGCUGUCAUAUAUGACAAAUUAAAAUUUGAAAAAAUGAAAAAAAUAAAGAAAUAAAAAAAAGGCAGGAGAUGUGGCUCAGUGGUUAAGCACCUGUGGGUUCAAAACAUAAAGUAAAAUAAAAUAUUUUUUUAAAAAGUACAAAAAGAGGGCUGGGGUGUGGCUCAGCAGGAGAGUACUCACUUAGCACCUGUGAGGCACUGGGUUCAAUCCUCAACACCACAUAAAAUAAAUAAAUAAAUAAUAAAGGUAUUGUGUCCAACUACAACUAAAUAUAUGUGUGUGUGUGUAUUCUUUUUAAAAAGUACAAAAAGAAUAGACCUGAGCAGCUGGGCAUAGUUGUGCACACCUCUAAUCCUAGUGACUCUAGAGCCUGAGGCAAGAGGAUCAUAAGUUCAGGAGGAUCAUAAGUUCGAGGACAGCCUUGGUGUUAUGGUUCGGAUGUGAGGUGUCCCCCAAAAGCUCAUGUGUGAGACAAUUCAAGAAGGUUUAGAGGAGAAAUGAUUGGGUUGUGAGAGCCUUAACCCAAUCAGUGAGUUAAUCAGUCCCCUGGUGGGAUUAGCCUGGUGGUGACUGAAGGCAGGUGGGUGUGGCUGGAGGAGGUAGGGCACUGGGGGUGCACCUUGGGGGGAUAUAUUUUGUAUCUGGCAAAGGGAGACUUCUCUUUCUGCUUCCUGAUUAUCAUGUCAGCCACUCCCCUCUGCCAUGCUCUUGCACCCAUGGUGGUCAGCCUCACCUGAAGUCCCACGGAAUGGAGCCAGGCUGCCUAUGGACUGAAACCUCUGAAACCGUGAGCCCCCAAUAAACUUUUUCUCCCCUAAAAUUGUUCUUGUCAGGUCUUUUGAGUCACAGCAGCAAAAAAAGUUGACUAAAACACUUGGCAACUUAGUGAAACUCUGUCUCCCCCAAAAGAGGGGACUUGCUUGAGAUGCAGCUAAGGGUAGAGAACAUCCCUGGGUUCAACCCCCAGUACUUCAAAAAUAAAUAAACAAACAAACAUGAAUAAAUACUAUUCUUUGUUAAAAGGUCAGCACCAAAACAAGUUAUUUCAAAAAAUAUUGUUGCUUGAUAUAAUUAAAGGAUCACGAGUAAGUUGGUCUAGCUUUUCAUACAGUAAAAACACGGAAGUGAUUACAUUACUGAUUUGAAGAGUGAAUUCAGUCACUUAAAAUUCAAAUUGAACCAACAGUUCAGCAACAUAUUAAUAAUUUAUCUAUCCAACUUCAUCAGUGUUGUGAAAUGAGGGGAUGAGAAAGACUUUAAGUUUGCAUGGGGCCUUACAAAUCUAAGUUCUAAGUACUUGUUUGACAUUUUGAUCUUUAUCUAAGGUCAGUGGACUAAAGAAAAAUCUGGACUCAAAGACUAUGAUAAUGAUUUUUUCUCAGCAUCCAAACUUGUGAAAUGGUGAGCCUUUCCCUGGGAAUGGGAAUGGAGGAGAACAGUGUCCUUGAUGAACAGCAGUCCCUUGCCUGUCUCUAGCAGUGGGCUUCUGGGCCAGCCCUUGGUACUAACUGAGGGUUACUAGGAUGAACAGCCUUGCUAACAAAUCACAGCCAACUGUGGUCAUCUUAUAUUAGGAGACCUUUCCUUAAGUCACUUGGGGACAGUUUGGCUUAAAGACUGCUUCAAUCUUCCAAGUGAUUUUGCAAAGAAUGUUAUUAAUUUGCAGAAGUGACUAAUGACAGAAGUAUCACCUUUUAAAAGUAGAUCACAGAAAAUGAAUAGAAAUUCUUUUUUUAAAAAACUGUAUUUAUUUUAAUUAGGUAUUCAUGACAGCAGAAUGCAUUUUGAUUCAUUGUACACAAUUGCAGCACAACUUUUCAUUUCUCUGUACACGAUGUAGCAUCAUCCUGUAUGCAAAGGUGGGUGGGGAGGGGAGCUGGUACGGGGGCAAGAAAGAAUGGAAAUUCUUUUUCUUUUUCUUUUAUUUGUUUAGUUGUAGUUGACACAAUACCUUUAUUUUAUUUAUUUAUUUUUAUGUGGCAUUGAGGAUUGAACCCAGGGCCUCGAAUGUUCUAGGCGAGCACUCUACCACUGAGUCACAACCCCAGCCCAGAAUGGAAAUUCUUAAUCCAUUCUUUUUUUUUCUUUCUUUCUUUUUUAGUUUUCGGCGGUCACAACAUCUUUGUUUGUAUGUGGUGCUGAGGAUCGAACCCAGGCCGCACGCAUGCCAGGCGAGCGCACUACCGCUUUGAGCCACAUCCCAGCCCUAGAGACAGCGUCUUGCUGAGUUGCUUAGGACUGAGGCUGGCCUUGAACUUGUGAUCCUCUUUCCUCAGCCUCCCAAGCUGCUGGGAUUAUAGGCAUGUGCCACUGCCCCUGGAUUCUUAAUCAAUUCUUUGAACUACAUGUUUAGUAUUUGUAAAUGUCGUAUGUCAUAAAUUCUUUAUUGGUUUUAUUUUUAAUAUGAGGCAUUGGUUUUAUAUUUACUAUGGGAAAUUUAACGUAAUGUACCUAAAUUACUAUUUCUUUCAACAAUUAUUUAUUUAGAAGCUUUGAUGUACCAGGACUGUGUCAGCCUAAAGAAGAUAUAAAAAUGAGUGGGACAGGCUGAAUAGUUUUGCUAAGGAGUUUGUAGUCAAUGGGAUGAGAGUGGGUGAGGUACACAAUGACAAGCAAUUGUGAAUAAAAGUGAUGCAUUAGUGUUCUCCAGAGAAACAAACCAAUAGGAGGUGUGUGUUGGCGGGGGUGGGGGGUGGGGGAUUGGGUUUAAGGAAUUGGCUCAUGUGGUUUAUGGUGGCUGACACGUCCAAAAUUUGCAGGUAGGCCAGCAGGCUGAAGAUCCACAGAAGGACCAAUGUUAUAGUUAAAGUCUAAAGAACACUAGGCCAGAGAAUUUCUUUUUAGGAAAAUUCAGUCUUUUUUUUCUGUUAAGAUCAGACUGGACUGGGCAUGGUGACACACUCCUAUAACCACAGCAGUUUGGGAGGCUGGGGCAGGAGGAUUCAAAGUUCAAAGCCAGGCUCAGCAAUUUAAUGUGCCCUAAGCACAUUAGCAAGACCCGGUCUCAAAAUAAAAAGUACAAAGGGCUGGGAUGUAGCUCAGUGGUUUAGCACUCCUGGGUUCAAUCCCUGAUUUAAAAAAAAAAAAAAACACUUUCCAGAAUAAAUUUUUGGUUUUUGGCACCAGGGAUCGAACUCAGGAGUGCUUAAACACUGUGCCAAGCCACAUCCCCAGCCCUUUUUAUUUUUUGUUUUGUGACAGAGUCUUGCUAAGUUGCUUAGGGGCGGGCUAAGUUGCUGGGGCUGGCCUUGAAUUUAUGAUCCUCCUGCCUCAGCCUCUGGAGCCUUUGGGAUCAUAGAUGUGCACCACUACGCCCAUCCCGAAUGAUGUUUGAUCAAAUAUCUGGAGGCCAUAGCCCAUCCAGGUGGUUAUAUAAAAUUAACCAUCACAAGUUGAAAACUUAUCAACUAAGCUCAAAGGAAAGCCCCUAACCCAGACCUUCAUGGGGGGACGGUGGUCAGGGAGAGGAACGGUAAUAAUUUAAUAGGCAUUAGGUACACACAUGUGGGCGUGGGCGUGCAGGUACCGCAGGGCGUGGGAGGGCAGCACUGGGGGAAGGAAGACAGUUGCUUUUCACAUACAGGGGGGUGAAGAAUUUCCAACAGAGGAAGCAUCCUGUGUAAGACCCCCAGAAAGCCAAAGCGACUUAGUGAGAGAGAAGAGGGAGAAAGGGAUAAAAAGCAAAAUAUCAAAGUAAUCAGAAACCAGACUCCAAAAAGUCUGCUACUGAGUCUGUAUUUAAUGCCGAGGGUGAGAGGAGCCUUUGGGUAGACUGAAAGUGGGCUUCAUGUAGGCUGGGUAGAAUUUGUGAGUUCUGUUGCUAUCACACAGGAAAUGCAGCUUGGGUUGUACUGUUCCUUGGUGGGCUUUUUCCCAGCAGGUAUUAACCAAGCCUGGCCUGGGGCAUUGGCGCUGGGUGAGCGGCAGGAGACACCGGGCUCCUGGGUGGGGUGCUUAUUCCUGUGCAGUGAGGAGAAUGUUUGCUGACACCAGCACCGCUCUGGUCACAGGCUCUGCUGGUAGUGAGAGGACUGGUAAGGUGGAUUGCUGCCAUCAAGGUGGACAGGAGAAAGCAGGGCCGUCUUCCUCAUGUCCUUUUUUACAUCUGCAGAAACCUCCUCUCUACCAUUUUAAGAAACUGAAGAGUUAUUCUUGCGACGUCAGGUUUCUGAAGCACCUCCGUAGGUCUCAGACACUAGCACAGUAGCACAGAGCCUGGCUGGCACCUUUAGAACCUGAACCAUGCAACCUGAGAAUCAGUGUUCCUGUCUCAGGGGUGGGACACUGCUGUGCUGCCCAGGUAGAUGUCCCUCUGUGAAGGAGUGGCUGAUGUUACUAGGAAUGGCCCUCAGCUGGGGCACCUCUGGAGACAGCCUCAGCCAAAGACAGCUGCCCAAGGUCACGGCUGCCCCCAGAGGCAUGCUCUGAACAGAGACUGAUCUGUGUGGGAGUGAGGCUGCCGGGCUCUCACCCCUCUGAGGAGCAUUCUGAAGGGUUUCAGAGCUCCACGUGGGGUGGGCCGAGACCUUCCUGGGACAGCAUCCCAUACCCGCUUCUGUGUCACACUGCUUCCCUCUCUCCCCUUGGACCUCAGAGCACUGUGAAGUUCCCUCUGUCCCACGGGGAACUCAGCCUGCAGUGCUGUCCUCUACCCAGGUGACUCCAGACAGCAAUCUGGAAAACCCUGGCUCCGCGCUCCCUGAGCAGCCUCCGGAUCCCGUAGCUUCUCAAGUCCUUGUUUCCAUUCCAGUUGCCACCGUUUUACUCCAGGUCACCAAGGUCUGUCAUCCAAGUUAACUGUUUGGGUGGCUGCUUGAUUGUCUUCCUGUCUUUACCUUUAUCUCUAUCAAAGUGACUUUCUUCUUAUAAUUUUAUCAUGUUUAAUGGACUUAUUGAGGUAUAUUUGAUGUUCCAUAGCCUGCAUAGGUUUAAAGUGUACAACUUGUUGAUAGAUUUUGAGUUGAUAGAUUUUGAAUUGAUAGACAGAGUUGAUAGAUUUUGACACAUGUGUACAACUGUGAAACUAACACAAUCAAAAUGAUAAUAUCCAUCAGUAAGUGUAUUAUUUUUAAAUUAUAGAAGCUGUGCUCUCUCUCUCUCUCUCUCUCUCACACACACACACACACACACACACAAAACACACAUACACACAAACACGAAGUAAAAACGGAAAUUCUCUCUACCCUCCCUUAGGAUAAUCUUAAAAUUCAAACCCAGAAAGGUUCUUUCUUGCCUUAAAUGUAUUUCAGUUACCUCUAAAUAACGACAGGGAUUUUUGCUCAAAGGCCUGGAGUGUCUGCCAGCCUGGGUGUGGGUGAACCCUAAAACCAAAUCAUGUGAGGCCUUGUCUGCGGCCUCUGAGCCUUUGCUGUGCUCUUGGCUUUGCCUCUCUUGCUCUUUUCCACCUUGAAUUUUCUUCAGGACUGAUAUUUGAUUGGCCUAUUUUCAUUUAAUACUUCUUUAAUAUUAAUAUUUUAAUAAUUGAUAGCUAAUGUUUAUCGACUGCUUGCUUUUUCUUUGUUCUGUGCUUUCUAUACGCCAUAUCUCUUAACCCCCAUAAAAUCUCUAAUUGGUAUGGCGAUCCUUAUGUUGAAGGAUGCUGGCUUUACAAUACAACUACCCCCUGAAUCCUUAGACUUAGCUGACUGUUUUCUUUCACCAAAACUUUGGUCAAGUUCUGCGUCCACUGCUUGAAUAGACUUGACCUUGGGCUUCCCUCUCUGCCUUGUAAAAUCAAUUUGAGCAAGAAUCCCUCUCAGUUUAGCAAAGCCCCUCCCUCUUGGAUAUAUGACCACCAUAUCUUGUCCCCUUGGCCUGCCUUCGGCAGCUCAGGGGUCCUAUCAAGGUGGUUCAGCAGAAAUCCCCCUUUCCUUGAUGUUUCCUCUCGGUCAGUUUCCAUCUGCUGCCCACCCGCCCUUGAUCCUUGGUUAGGAGUCUGCACUCUUCCCUGUUGGCAUCUGAAUGGAGUCUAGUCUCUCUCCCCCAUGCUGUUUGACAUUGCAAGGGUCCCGUACCUACCCCAUGGCCUGCCUCACCAUCUUUAACAAGUAUUCAGGGAAUUUCCUCCUUGACAGGCCCAAGUGAGUUGCUGGUGACCGGCUUCCAUCUGAAACGUCCUGCGGCUCUCCUCCAGCGUGCUCGUUGCUCUCACUAUUGGGUUUCUGACUUCCCAGUGAAAGCCGAAGCUGUGUGUGCUCUCUGUCUGUGCGAGCACCUGGGGCAUGGCCAGUGUGUGUCACAUACUCCCUGAGUGGAUGCUGAAUGGAGGGACAGUAACCUCCACUGCACCUGCAGAGUAGGUUAGUGGCAAUAGUUGGGAUUCCCAAGUCAGAAAGAAAGCUCGAAUCCAAAUUCUGCCACCUUUAGUUGGCUCUCACUUCUGAGCCUCCUUUUCUUCAUUUCCUCCUUACAGAAUUGCUUUGAAGAGUGAUGAAGUGAUUUGGACCAAAUUCCUAGCACAGGAUAGGGUACAUCUUUUUGUUUUUCCGUCAUUGAAUGUAAAGUAUAUCAAACCUUGUUAUCAUUUUUAAUCCUUUACUCUGCCUAUAACAAAGUAUGUAGUAGUCAAAUAAGUAGUGACUAUUGUUUUAAUUAGAACAUUUUUUAUUAACAAGUAUUAAUUGCACAUCUGAAGGUUGCUCAGUGUGAUAUUUCAACAUGUGGAUACAGCACGUACUGGUCAAUUAGUGGAAUGCUCAUCUCCCUCUCUUGGUUGUUUAUUUGCAGCCUCUGAGCUCUUUUCUUCUAGGUCAUUCAUAAAAUACCUAAUCAGUUAUUGUGAGCUACAAUCAUCUUGUCACCGCGUGGGGGUCCAAGCAGCUCUCCAACCGCGGAGGAGGCCUCUACUGUGACCUUCCAGGUUCUUGUCCAUGUUACAGAAAGGAAUCUAAGAUGCAUUAGGCACGAGGGGCAAAGCAGGAGAUUUCUUAAUAAAGGAACAGCACACACUUGAGAAUGGAGUGCAGGUGAUCUUGAGAGGAAGUGGGUCGCCUCACCUUGGUCUGGGGCUGGACGCCCAUACAGGGAGCAGCAGCAGGGGGCUGCGCUGGAGUGAGGCGGGCAGCGUUAUGCAAUUCCGCGCCGUUUUCCUUGCACCUGCCCAUGCCCUGUCUGUGUGGAUCGGGCUGCUUCCUAGGUUGCGUGCCCAUCGACGCCUUCAGUCUCCACCCAGGGCUGAGUCUUACUGUUGUAAUGAGGCUAGGGCAUUUCCCUGUCACCAAAGUCGUCACCAGACCCUGUGGCAGUGUAUUCUCCAGAUGCCUUGUGGUCAUCUUAUGGCUCUCUUGUUUCUUCAGCCAAUUGACAAGCUGUAGGCAAGAUGCAAGGACAUGGCUGGUUGCUCACCUUUGUUCUGCAUUCUCAUGGCUUGUGGGCACUUCUCUCUUGAGACUCCUUGCCCUCCUUGUACCCCUGAGUUCCUACCUCAAUCUGUUUGCCUUCAGAACCCCACUACUUGUUCCUUCUAACUGUGUCUUGGUACCCAUCAUCUGACCUCCUUUCAUGCCCCAGAACCCUUCCCAGCUUCUGGUGGCCACUAGUCUCUGUUCCACUCAACUUUCUUUUGCUUCCACAUGAGAGAGAACAUGCAGUAUUUACCUUUCUGUUUCUGGCUCGGUUUAUUUAACACAGUGUCUUCUAGGUCCAUCCUUUUUGCUGCAAAGGACAGGAUUUCAUUCUUUUUUAAAAUAUAUUUUUAAUUUUUUUGCAGGAUUUCUUUCUUAUGGAUGAACGACAUUACAUUGUGUCGGGGGCGCCUAGGUCAAUUGCACAUCUUGGCCAACGUGAACAGUGCCUCGGCAACCACGGAAGUGCAGGAGUCUGAUGUGCUGCUUUCGUUUGCUUUGGUCAUACACCUAGAAGUAGGACAGCUGAAUCAUCUGGUAGGUCUAUUUUUACUUUAGUUACUACUGUUAAAAGAUAAACAGGCACAUUAAAAUUUUAAC